UUUGCUGCUACGCGCUCUUCUUUAGCCUCCAAUCACCCAAUCAAUCCCAUGCAAGGUCCAUUGAUGCAUGCGUCUGAUCUGAUGCAGCAGUACGUCCCCUAACCGCGCGCGCAAUCGUGAACUAACUCGGCCGAUUCGAUCGAUGAGUACAAGUACAGACGGCAGGGUCGCGGUGGCGAAUUAUAGGCCGAGCGCGCCGAGCGGCGUCUUGCCCUGUCCGGCCUCGAAGUAGAAGGUGAGCAUGGCGAGCAUGGCGAUGCGGGCGUGCUUGAUCUCGGCCAGCUUGAGCCGCUCGAGCUUCUCGGUGUCGGGGAUGUAGACGCCGUCCUUGACGGUGCCGGCGAGGCCGAGCGGGUCGAAGAACUUGCCGCCGGGGUAUCCCUGGUCGCCGGUGAAGUUGGCGAAGUUCUCGGCGGUGCGGGACCAUGGGGUGGCCCACUCGACGGACUGCGAGUCCGGGUUGAAGAAGUCGACCCACCGCUUGGAUUCGACCCACCCCAUGAGCAGCAGCUGCGUGCCGAGGAGGGAGCCGAAGGAGAAGGGUGCGAUGGCGCCCGGGUCGGCGCCGGCCUCGAACCAGGGGAUGCCGCUCCACGCCUGGCCGACGAAGAUGCCCAGCACGGCGGCCAUCGCCCACCGCCCGUGGAUCAGCUCCGCCUCGCGGUACCACUUGAGGAACGCCGGGUCCUUGCCCAGGCCCAGUGGGUCGAAGCCGAAGUCACCGGGGAGUCUGGCAUAUGAGGAAAACCGGCGUCAGUUCCGGUUCCAGCUCCAGCUUCCCUCUCAGAUCAGGAAAGCAAGAAGAGGUAGAGAUAACUUACGAGCCAUCGAGCCAUGGCGGGUUGAUGAACUCGGCGUCGCUCUUGAAGGCGGGGAUCCACGACUUCUUGGCGGCGGCCGCGGCGACGACGAGCGCGCGGCGCGGCGCGGGCUUGGCGGCGGCGACGGAAGCGGCAUUGGCGAGCGCGUGCCUGGCCCCGAGGAACGGGGUCUUGAGCACGGCCGCGGCGGAGGUGGACGCGAGCGCCAUGGCCUGGUGACGGGGUCAGGUCCUUCCCGUGGCAGAGUUUGUGGCUGGCUGGCGGCGGGUGGUCU
rnacentral:lncRNA from 1 species